rnacentral:misc_RNA from 1 species
AAAAGGCAUUGUGUGCACAUCCAUGAGAAUUCAUUGUGAUUUAUGAGAAAUAUACCAAAAAUGCUACAAUUUUAAAAACCAUGAAGUGGCAGUCAGAGCCACAUCAGUAGCCAUUUGGACAGCUAACCUCACUACACUAUUUCAGUAGCGUGUCCCGCAUGCAAUUGCCCAUGAAACAAUUUCUAAACCUAUUUAUGUUCGUUUAUUGUUUCAUAGCAUUGUUCUCACAGUCCAGCUAGCCCCACAAUUUUUAGGG